ACUUACUAACCUACUCCAUCUCGUAAUUAAAGCACCCCCCCUUCCCCUCUCUCUCUCUCAUUUCUAAGCUCUCUCUCUCUUGGAAAAUGGAUGGCACGGACGCCGCCUCAAUGCCACGGCCGUCGUCCCCUGUUCUCCCUUCCUCUUCUCUCUCUCUCUUACACCCACACACACAGACACGGCCCACGCCGCGUCGCCGCCUCUCCUGCUUCAUCUUCUUCGGCCGAACGGUUGGAGCCGCCACCGCCACCACCCAUCCUGCUUCAUCUUCUUCGGCCGAACGGCCGGAGCCACCACCACCGUCGCCUGUAGCAGAAUGGAACACGACAAUGACGUAUCUACCGCCAUCGCACUGCUGCCGUCCGCCAUGCUCAAUCGUUGUCCGUCUGCAUAGACCGUAGACAACGGAUCCCAUGUUGUCGUUCCGUCGUUGGCUGCCUCCUCUCUCCUCCUCUAUUUUUGGUGCCUCGCCUCUCCUCCUCUGCUCUUGACGCCGAUGGUGGUUAGUGGCAAAUCUCGUCGGAACAUAGGAAUUUAAGAAGAGGGGUAGAAGUGGAUAGAAUUAGGGAUUUUGUUCUACUGUUCUUGAAUUUGCUUGGUUCUUCUUGUUUACUAAAUUUGCAGAG